UACGUAGGGUGCAAGCGUUGUCCGGAAUUAUUGGGCGUAAAGAGCUCGUAGGCGGUCUGUCGCGUCGGUCGUGAAAACCUGCAGCUUAACUGUGGGCGUGCGGUCGAUACGGGCAUGACUGGAGUUCGGCAGGGGAGACUGGAAUUCCUGGUGUAGCGGUGAAAUGCGCAGAUAUCAGGAGGAACACCGGUGGCGAAGGCGGGUCUCUGGGCCGAUACUGACGCUGAGGCGCGAAAGCUAGGGGAGCGAACGGG
rnacentral:rRNA from 1 species